GUGGCUAAAGUGGCUAAAAUGCAAAUUUGGCUAAGACCCCGCGAAUUCAAAAACCUAAAAUUUACUAGGAAGACCAGACCCUAUGUGGGUUGCCUACGUAUCACGCCCCGAAAGACGAGAAUCAGGUAUGUGUAGUUCGGGACAAUUGGAUACGGGCGAGAAAUAAAAAUAACAACUAAUUCAGAGAAAAAUUAUUUUUUAUUUUUUUUUUGUUUUGAAAAAUGAUGAAAUAUGUAAACUCUUUUUGGAUUUUCUUUUUCUCUUUUUAUUUUUAUUUUUUUUUUUUUGAAAAAAAUGAUGGGGAAAGUGCAAAAUCUUUUUGGAUUUUCUUUUCAUUUUCGUUUUUUGUCUUUUUCUUUAAAAAAAUGUGAAAAAUGAAAGAAAAACAUAAAUGGGCCCUACUUGCUUAAUGUUUUACACUUCGCCCUCUUUUUUUCUUAUUUAUCCUCAAACCUCAUUGGUCCGCCAAAUGACCCAUUUUACCCUUGAAAAUUGCAAUAUGUAGCACAUAGGAUGCAUCAGGAUGGUCUUUUAUUUUUGGGCACACCUGUCCUAGACGAACACAACCCUUGUGUUGAGUCCCCAAAGUCAGAUGCACGUGAUACAAACAAGCGUUCCUACUAGGGAUCCGGCAUGAGGCUGAGUUAUUAUAAGUUCAAAACCUGGGUAUAUUGUUCUAGACUUGUGUACCCAAGCGGACAACUCAAGCUGGGGGGGGCUACGUACCAGGAACCAAAAGGCCAUUCGGCUUUGUAGCUUGUCCGAGCAUCUUCUUACUUUAAGGUAUGACACUAACAGAAGAGGAGUCACGCCAGCGUGCACAUCCCCGAAGAUGAGAAGAGAAGGUUUCGUAGCAGUUUAUAUAUAGUUCAAAUAAUAUCAAAGCAGUAAAAAGCAACAUUUAGCACAUUAGGCCCAAACAUGUAAAUAAAAUCAGACAAUAAAUAAACCAAAUAUAACAAUUAUUCUAAGCUCGAAUUCUUGAACCCUGAACCAGAGAUUCUGGGUUCGAUCCCCAGCAGAGUCGCCAGAGCUGUCACACCUCCUUUUUACUACCCAGAAGGGUGUAUAAGGGAGUUUUUUCCCAAUUUAAGUGACAAUCGAAACGAGAUUAUUUUAUUUAAAAUUCAGAGUCGCCACUUGGGAUAAUUUAUGUUGUCCCAAGUCACCGGUUUUGAAUCCUGAAUCGAGAAAAUAUUGACUCUGUUUUAUAGUCAGCGAACACAGAAAUCCGGGUAAGAAAUUCUGUUAACCCGGGAGAAGGUGUUAGGCAUUCCCGGGUUCCGUGGUUCUAGCAUGGUCGCUCAACUAUUAAUAAUUGGCCUAAUUAUCUGAUUUAAUUACACAUUUUAAACCUACGUGCCCUUUUAACUUUUUAGCCGCUUUUAAUUAUUUAAAGAAUUAAUUCAAGGUUAUUUAAAAUAUAUCGUGAGUCAUGCUACAUGAAAUGCACUCGUUGUUCACGACACGUCCUAUUUAACCUUGUUGGAAAUUAGAACUGGGUCACAUGAAAUGUACCCCCGGAUUUUAGCAAUUACAAAUCACAACUGCGUCACAGGAACUGUACCCGUAGCUAUGAUAAUUAAAGAAUUAGCGCGCCUAAAGCAAACUAUGAAUGUUCAUUAUUCUUCCUAAAGCUAAUUUGAGAUUGUUAUGGGGCUACGAAUAAUGGAAAAGUGAAACAGUUUCUAGAAUUUGCAAAGUAAGAAGGAAACUUAUGCAUUCUUGCCCCAAAUUUGACCCAAUAAUAGGUCAAAACUCUGGCUCUAAUAAAAAUGCCCUUUAAACAUAAGAACUGCAAAUUACCCUAAUUUUAAGUUUGGUUUGUCCAAUUCCACUCUUUGUUGAUUUUAAUUGAACAAGAGUUUUAUUUUGCACGUCGAUUCACAUGAAUAAAGAUGACUUAAUUUCUUAUCGUUAUAACCCACCAAAAAUUAAAGAAAAAUCUCAACAUAUUAACACAAAAUAUAGAACAAAAAUAUAAUAGACAAACUAUUCAUAAAUAGAAACCAAAGAUAAAGAAACCAAUAUUUCAUCACAUAAUACUCAUCAAAAAUAGGGGAAAAUCAGUUCAAACUACAGAGGAUCAGACGUAAAGAAUCAACCAAACAUAAAUUCAAAAUUCACAUUAAACUUAUAUCACAACUGAGGCAUCGAAUCAUCAUAUAAGAGGAACGAAAUGAAAUGGAGGAAGAAGAAAACCUUGAACCAAAUAAUGAGCUUUCCAGUAGGUAAUCGAAGAGCAAAUAAGAAAAAUAGUUCAGGACCUCGAUGAGGCAGAAUCUCGUCAGACGACACUCGAACCUCGACGGAAUAAGAUGUAGACCAUGCUGUCCGAAACUUCAAGCAUCUCAACCUCGAUUUUCAAUUGAUCGAAGACAAGGAAACUGAAACAUGACUAAACAAAAGCUUCUGUUGGUGUGUAUGUGUGUGAGCAGUGAGGAACGGCGACUGGAGUAGAUUGGAGGAGUUCUGGACGGUGGCUUUCAAUGAAGGGUGGUGCGUGUAGAGAAGGAGAUCGAGCAGUUCCUCUGUAUUAUUAUCGACGCUGCUUCAUCUCUUAGCCUUAGGGAUCUCGAGGUUAGCUCUUCAUUGAAGAGGAAGAAUGGGGGGUGGGUCGUUUGGGGUGGGAUCUGUGAAGAAGACGAGGUCAGGGGGUGGGUUUCGUGUAUUGCUGAGUCUUGUGUAUUGCUGCGCUGAGGCACUGAUUCUUUUUUUGAAAGGGUGGUGUGAAGAAGAUAGCAUAACGGAUGGACCAGCCUUUUUGAAAAAACAGCGGAUCCUUGUUUUGAGUGUAUAGGGCUUUUGUAUUUUUGUAUUUCCUUAUCCUUUUUUCAGAGAAAUGGUUGAUGGUUAUGUGUAAAGUCU
rnacentral:lncRNA from 1 species